rnacentral:lncRNA from 1 species
AGUCCUGGUGCCCGCCUUGGCCUAGCCCCGGCCCCGGGACGGAAGGGGGCCUCUGGGGUGGCAGCCUGGGCCCAGUAGAGCUUUGCAUCUCUUGGAUAUCUUUCCCGGGCGCAGAAGCUGCGGGGCUUAGGGAGUCGCCAUUGCGCUGGAAAGUCCUCCCGCCCACGGAGACCCCAGCAAACUCCGAGUGUCACACAGUCGCCUCUGGCGACCCGUGCGGGCCGGAGCCGUUCGCGCACAGGCAGGGCGGGUGCUGAGCGUGGAAACGGGGCUGGAAUUGGCCGAGCCAUGCCUUUCCGGGAUGCCCACCGCCAGUCAAAGGGUUGGGGGUGGUCUCUGCACCUUAAGUACUAACCUGCCGCCCACGCGCCUCCUGACCACAGCACCCCGUCGGCUUUCUAAUUCUGUGAGCUGCCCUCGUGGGCGUGGCCUCCCUGUGGAGCUCCCCAUGUGCCUCCCCUUGGUCCAGCCUGCAGCUAGGAAGUGGGUCACAGCGACGGGGCUGGGCUGGGCCAGGCCAGGCUCCGGGAGAUGUGGAAUUGGCGAAACAACUGCCCCAGUAGUAUCCUCCGCCUAGGACUCCAAGAGGUGGCGAAUUGGGGCACUACGCCCGGGUAAGGCAGUGCCUGUUCAGGGCUGCCGACCUGUCUCCCCAGGGCUGUCAUUCUCAGCAAGUACUUUAGGAGUGCCUUAGAUCGGCACAUUCUCCCAUUGAAAUAUUUUUGUUAGUGGAGACAAGGGAGGUAAUGGCAAGGACACGGAUCAUCACAGCCCCUAGGGAUUUGUUGAAUGACCUUUGGCAAAUCACUUCCCUUCUCUGGGCCUGUAGUUCUUGGCUGAAUAUGAGGGAAUGGAUUUCAAAUUAUGCUCCAUGUAAUACCCGUGUUUUUACCUCUGUAAACAGAUUUUUUUGUUUUUUUUGAGACGGAGUUGCACUCCAGCCUGGGCGCAUGGUGGCUCAUGCCUAUAAUCCCAGCACUUUGGGAGGCUGAGGCAGUCAGAUCACUUGAGGUCAGGAGUUCAAGAACAGCCUGACCAACAUGGUGAAACCCCAUCUCUACUAAAAAUAGAAAAAGUUAGCCAGGCGUGGUGGCAGGCGCCUGUAAUCCCAGCUACUCAGGAGGCUGAGGCAUAAGAAUCCUUGAACCCAGGAGGCGGAGGUUGCAGUGAGCUGAGAUUGCACCAUUGCACUCCAGCCUGGGCAACAAUAGCGAAACUCCGUCUCAAAACAAACAAACAAACAAAACAAAAAAACUUAAUGAAUACAGUCCCUCCUAAGAUUUUCAAAUAAAUGAAAUACCACAUUAAUCAUAUUGUUUUAUUUUUAUCAUUACAUUAAAAAUCAAAUAGUAUCACUAGGUUUAUAAUGAAAAACAGCAGACCCUGUCCCAGCCCUCCACACUCUCAGUUUCUACUCCCUAGAUAUAAUCUCUAUUCACCCAGCUACCUCUUCUGGUAUUUAUCUCCGUAUUUCUAAAUAGCAUGCUUAUACUACUAAUUCUUAAUUUUUCAGUUUGGGCCAUUAUUUUACUUUUUCUAUAGGAAAUAAGAUAUGUGUUUAUACUCUGAAGACUGGUAAUACACACAUGUAUUUCUCCAUCUUCCAUCCUUCAGUUUAUCUAUAUCACCCUAUAUAGGUAGAGUACUAUUCAUUAUACUAUUAUAAAGGUAUGUAAUUGAUCCAGUUAGCAUAAUAUGAUUAUAUUUCCUUUAUUUUGAUUGAAGUUAACUAUUGCCUCUUUCUCCAUGCAACUUUCUUAAGUACCUAGCAUUCAAGUGUCUAUAAUCAAUUUAUUCCAAACUGUCCUUUCAAAACAUUGAAACACAUCAAGUAGUCUAUCAAUCAGUUUAUUUUUUAAAUUGGAGACAACUCUCUAGGAGCCCAUCAUCCUCCUUCACUGUGGACUAGUUUUUCUCUAAGCCUACUGCACAGCUUUUGUCCUGAAAUAAUUUUAUCCUUUCUACCCUGUUUUCCACUUCUUUUUGUUUUUCUGAAAGAUUUCCACCUUCCAGCUUUUCUUUUGAAUUUUAAAAUUUCUGUUAUGUUUUAAAUUUGCCAGAAUACUUUCUUGUCAACCUCUCUUUUAAUUAAAAAUAUUUUUUAUUUUUGUAAUUUAAAGGUUUAUUGUAAAUUGACAAGUACAAAUUGGAUAUAUUUAUGGGGUACAAAGUGAUGUUAUAUGUAUACAAUGUGGAAAGAUUAAAUCAAGCUAAUUAACAUAUCCAUCACUACAAAUACUUCUUUGUGGUGAGAAUACUUGACAUUUACCUUCAGCAAUUUUGAAAUAUACAGUACAUUAUUAUUAACCAUGCUAUACUCUUUAUCUCAAAAAAUGUAUUCCCUUUAUCUAACUGAAACUUCGUACUCUAACCAACAUCUCCUUGUUUCCCCUACCACCCCUUCCCCCUACUCUCUGAUAACCAUCAUUCUACUCUGAUUCUGUGAGUUUGUUUUAGAUUCUACAUUAGGAAUCAUGUGACUUUGUCUGUCUGUGCCUGGCUUAUUCCAUUCAGCAUAACGUCCUCCAGGGAAGCACUUUCUUGUCCACCCCCUUCCCCUUUUUAAAUAGCAGUCUGUUCCAUUUGGUGGAUGCAGUAUCUUAUUACUCUAAGAAUAUUGCUAAUGUUUUCUUUUGUUUCUUGAAUUGUCUGUGUUGAAUUUUUAAGGCUUGUUUCUGUUUUGUGUUGGAAGCUUUUCUUAAACGUCUAGAGAUCCUUGGCCAUCCAUUCAUAUGUAAGAGUGGGGCACUAGAAAGCCAAUAGAAAGUUCUGUGUACACUGGCCAGUGAGGUGGCUCACACCUGUAACCCCAGCACUUUGGAAGGCCAAGGCAGGCAGAUCACUUGAGGUCAGGAGUUCAAGACCAGCCUUGCCAACAUGGUGAAACCCCAUCUCUACUAAAAAUACAAAAAUUAGCCGGGCUGGUGGCGCACGCCUGUAAUCCUUGCUACUUGGGAGGCUGAGGCUUGAGAAUCUCUUGAACCCGGGAGGCAGAGGUUGCAGUGAGCUCUCCAGCCUAGGCAACAGACCAAAACUCUGUCUCAAAAAAAAAAAAAGUUCUGUGUACAUACUUAGGACUUGUAAUUGGUAGGACAUACUGCAGUAUUUUUCAAACUUCUGGUCGCAAACCCAUUAGUAGUUUGUGAAAUCAAUAUAAUCAGUUUUAUUUCCCCCAAAUGACAGAACAGAAUAGAAAACACCACCUCAGAAUACAUCUACAUAGAAAGAGAAUUAUUUUAUGAAACUUUGGUUUCUUACACAUAUCAUAUAUACAUAUUAUGUACUGGUUUGAUCCCAUAAAAUGGGAGUUUUUUUUUUUUAUUGUGGGUGUUUCUUCAAAGAAAUUUGAAAAAGUACAACUUAGGAUAAUCAAAGAGAUCUCCAACUGUCAGGACAGGUAGGUCUUUUCUCUUAGAGAGGUUAAGUUCCGGCCCAGUGCGGUGGCUCAUGCCUGUAAUCCCAGCACUUUGGGAGGCUGAGGCGGGCAGAUCAUGAGGUCGGGAGAUUGAGACCAUCCUGGCUAACAUGGUGAAACCUCAUCUCUUCUAAGAAUACAAAAAAUAAGUCAGGCAUGGUGGCACGCGCCUGUAAUCCCAGCUACUCGGGAGGCUGAGGCAGGAGAAUCAUUUGAACUCGGGAGGCGGAGAUUGCCACUGCACUCCAGCCUGGGCGACAGAGCAAGACUCCGUCUCAAAAAAAAAAAAAAAAAAACGGAGAUAAGUUCUCCUGGAGUAAAAUUCUCUAAACUUUUGCCUGCAUGCUAGUCUGAUAGACAGUACUCAUUCAUUCAGGUAUUGGUUGAGGACUUACUAUGUGCCAAACACUGUUCCAGGUUCUGGGUAUACAUCAGACAAAACUGUCUCCUGGGACUAGAUUCUAGUGAGGGAGAUAAACAGUGGGUUAUAUAGUAUUUAGAUCUUGCGCUAGGUAACACAGCAACAGAAGGGAAAGCUGAACAUAUGCAUAUAGAUGCUGGUAAGAGGGUGGAUGUGGUGGAUGAAUGAAGUAGAAAACAAGGUCAUCAUCUGAGAGUGAAAAUGGGGAGGAAGUGUUGGAAGAAAAGAGAAGGUGUGAAAUAAUUUAGGACACAGCACAGCAAACUAUAGCCUUUGGUCAAAUCCUAUUUUGGUGCAAUCCACAAGCUAAGGAUACUUUUUUACUUUUAAACGGUUGGGAAAAAAAUUUAAGAUGAUAUUACAUCAUAGCAUGUAACAAAUAAAUGCAAUUCAAAUUUCAUUUAUUUACAUAUUGCCUCUGGCUACUUUCAUGCUACAGUGACAAAGCUGAAUAAUUGCAAAAGAGACUAUGACCUGCUAUGCCAAAAAUAUUUAUCUGGCCCUUUACAGAAAAAGUUGGCUGACUCCUGAUCUAGGAGGAUGGGAAGGUAUAUAGAGUAGGGAAAUAUGAUUAUCAGGCAGCAUUAAGGCCUGAAGGUUAUGGACAUGAAUUUAAAGUAAGACUAAACAGCAUAGUUGCUGCACAGAAGUAGGUACAAAGGCAAAGAGCUGGCUUUAAAGUUGUGAUUUUGCAAACUGAAAAUGACAAAAAGGGGUAGACUAAGUUAAAAGUACAUGCAAGUUGCAUGAUUAUAAUGAGUGAUCCUGGGAUUUAAGUUGAUUAUGACAGGAACAGAAGGAACUUGGAGAUUAGGGACAAUGAAAAGGUGGUAGUGAAAGGAGUGUUGGAGUUAAGUUACUAGAUGUCUGGAAGACAGACUGUGGUGGUCAGAUAAUGAGAUAGAUUAUGGAGGGGUUACAGUUUUUGGUAAUAACGAGAGAGAUCUAAGGUAUGACUGAGAGUGAAUGGAUGAGAAUAGCAGAGAACAAGGUCAGUGGAAAACUACUCUUCAAAGAACCUAUAGUCAGGGUGUUGAAAGAUUAAAAAUUGCUAAGAAUUAAAUCAGGAGUAGUGCUGCGGGAAAUGAAAUGAGCAGUGAACUAAACUUACUGAGAAAUGAGAGGGGAUGACCCAGGGGUUUGUAGAUUUUGUAGAUGAUAGCAAUGAAGAGAAGAGAUAUUAUUUGAUGGUAUGGAACUCAAAGCUGAGAGUUUUAAGGGAAGAUAGGAGACGUGUCUAGAAGUAGUAAUGAGGAGCAAGAACAUCAUCUACCCCAUCUCCAGGACCAGUAAUAGGAGGACUGUGGGAGAAAAAAAUCACCUUGAGAGGGCUGUAGUGAAAGCAGUAUCCUAAGGUAGCAGCCAAGUUUCAGACUGCUGGGAUCCAAGCCAGGGAAAGGUUUCUGACUCUUUAGAAUGCUGAGCUUUAGGCUGGGCACAGUGGCUCACGCCUGUAAUCCCAGCACUCUGGGAGGCCAAGGUGGGCAGAUCACUUGAGUCCAGGAGUUCAAGACCAGCCCAGGCAACAUGGUGAAAUCCCAUCUCUACACAAAAUACAAAAAUUACCCAGGUUUGGUGGUUCAUGCCUGUAGUCCCAGCUACUCAAGAGACUGAGGUGGAGAAUCACUUGAGCCCAGGAGGUUGAGGCAGCAGCAAGCCAUGAUCACACCACUGUACUCCAGCCUGGGCAACAGAGUGAGACCCUGUCUCAAAAAAACAAACAGAAUGCUGAGUUUUAAAUCCCUAUAUUCAGUAGGAUGUCUCCCCUCAGCUCCCAGUUGUUGUUGGUGGCUUCAACUAGUUCAUCUUCCCCAGGAGAUAAUGAAUGAACAAAUGAAUGAAUGAAUGAAUGAGUUUAUAAGGGGCGAGGAUCUCAGGACUUCAUAGUCUUUCAAGUAAUCAUCUUGUUUUUAGCCCUCUACCUACUACCUCUUGCUUUUCAGAUAACUGAUGCCUCCAAUUCCUAAGCCUUUUCUGGGGUUCUGUGGUACAAACAUGCUUGCUUAUUGCUAGUAACACUCCACCAGCCCCUGCCCCAGACUUCUGCUUUCUCUGGUCUACUCAGUUUGUUCCUUGUUUUUUGCUUUCCGGAUUCAAAGAUUUUGUUGACAUUGCCUGGAUGCUGCCAUCUUUUGUCUCAUAUUCUUUGUCCUUAAUCAUUUAACAUUCCUUUACUGUCAUUUUAAUGGCAUUUCAGGAGGAAGCCAUGUUUCUAGUCCACCGUUCUUUUUUGUUGUUUUUGAGACAGAGUCUUACUCUGUCACCCAGGCUGGAGUGCAGUAGCAUGACCUCAGCUCACUGCAACCUCUGCCUCCCGGGUUCAAGCGAUCCUCCCACCUCAGCCUCCCGAGUAGCUGGGACCACAGGCAUGCGCCACUACAACUGGCUAAUUUUUGUAUUUGUAAGUAGAGAUGAGGUUUCUCCAUGUUGGCCAGGCUUGUCUUGAAUUCCUGGCCUCAAGUGAUCCACCCACCUCAGCCUUCUAAAGUGCUGGGAUUACAGGCAUGAGCCACCACACCGGGCCAAUCCACUGUUUUUUAAAAAGUUGUCAAGAGUUUUGUUAAGGGGUCAGACAUGUCUGACUGGUUGACUUUUCCCAGAAUGCUGCUUAGUCCCUCAAACACACAAAUUCCUGAUGGGUCCACCCACUAGGCUUCUGGUAUACACAGACAGAUCUGAAUCCCAGUGGUGGAAACAACCUAGGCUGAUUCUGAGUUUCCCACUGCAUUUCUUCUUCUAAUUGUCCCUCUUUUCCAUUCCUGUCCUUUCCCUCAUCCCUUACCUGCUGAAAAUGAAUCUUACCAUUUCUAAAAUUCCACUCUUCCGGGGGCAUCCACAGCUGGAUCCUCUUCUUCACUGCCAUUCCUCAGGCCUUAGAACAGGUCCCCUUCUUACACCCUUGUGCUCCAACUGGUCUUUAUGAAACCUGUUCACUUCAAUAUACUUUUAGGCCAGGCUCACGCCUGUAAUCCCAGCACCUUGAGAAGCUGAGGCCGGUGCAUCACUUGAGGUCAGGAGUUCGAGACCAGCCUGGCCAACAUGGUGAAACCCUAUCUCUACUAAAAAUACAAAUAUAUAUACAUAUGCCAGGCAUGGUGGCAUGUGCCUGUAGUCCCAGCUACUCAGGAGGCAGAGGCACGAGAAUCACUUGAAUCCAGGAGGCGGAGGUCGCAGUGAGCCGAGAUUGUGCCACUGCACUCCAGCUUGGGCAACAGAGCAAGACUCCGUCUCCAAAAUAUAUCUUAUCUAUAUAUAGAUAUAGAUAGGUAUAUAUAGAUCUAUAUAUAGAUAUAUACUUUCAAUUCUCCAAUUGUUCCCGUAUACCAUAGAGAAACUCUUAUGAGCUCAGUUUCUGCAGGACUUACAAAACAGGGUAAUUGCCUCCUCAUUAUGGUCAGCUCCAGCACCAUUCAAAUUCUCUGUCCUUACCCAUUUCCAGAACAAGCAGGAUGAAAAUCACUUAUCACUAUAGCACCCACCCUUAAGCACAAGGUUAUCCAAUGUUUUCAAGGAGUCCAGCAUUUCAUAACAGAACCCCCUGAUUAGUUUGCUAACUGAUGAAAGCAGAGUUAAAUUCCUGUUAUGCAGGUUUAGAGUACAGGAGAUUCUAUGUCCCCAUAUCCUCUGCCCCCCAAUCUAUCCCUUGGCAAACACAAGUACCUCUACUAGAAUAACCAUACUCCCUCUUCCCAACCCACUUCUCUUGUUUAAGGGCACUGGCAGUGUUUGUGUAUGUCAACAACAUCGGAGUAUCUGGGGUCCCUGGAGAGUUAGAUUUUCUGUAUUAAUUACAGACUGGGAGAUUACUCUGGCUCCAGUAAAAGCAAUACCAGGAUUGAAGUCCCCUCUCUGAUUAUGGUGGCUGGGAUUUGCUGGAAGAGGCAUAGGUCCAGAAAAGAAUGUAAAAAAGGUACUAGAAAGAAAGAAUAAGGCCUAUAGCCAUCAGGCUGCUAGAACCUUUGGACAAGUCACUAUCUAAAAGCAGGUAAAGACCCAGCUUUUUGUCCAUCUGGUCAGGCACCUGGUGGCGUGAGUCUUUCAGAACAUACUGGUCAGGCGGUGGCUCACGCCUGUAAUCUCAGCACUUUGGGAGGCUGAGGCAGGAGGAUCACUUGAGGUAAGGAGUUGGAGACCAGCCUGGCCAACAUGGUGAAACCCUGUCUCUACUAAAAAUACAAAAAUUAGCCAGGUGUGGUGGCGGGCAUAUGUAGUCCCAGCUACUUGGGAGGCUGAGGCAAGAGAAUCGCUUGAACCCAGGAGUCGGCAGUUGCAGUGAGCCGAGAUCACACCACUGCACUCCAGUCUGGAUGGUAAAGUGAGAACCCAUCUCAAAAAAAAAAAGGAACAUACCACAACCCUUCAAUAAAAAGGUCUCUGAGAAAACAGUUGUCACAAUGUCCAUGUACUUGUACUUGACACCAUGUGAGAAACAGCCUCCAGUAGGUCACUGGCCAGACAGGUGAGUAUGAAAUAGGACAACACUGUAUUAUAGCUCAGGAUGCAUUGAUAAUAGAAGUUUGAAGCAGCAGCUGACAGACGAGUCUAAGCAAUAACACACAGACUAGUUUGUCUCUGCUCUUGAGAACAGCAGCCUGCAACCCUUCAAACAAGCCAUAAUGUGUGAGUCAACAAGAAGCUACAUUUGAUUGACAAUGCCAUUUUAAUAAAGAUGUUCUAGAGUCAAAGAAUUUGGCGUGAGAAAUUGUGCCCAGGCUGGGGUGCAGUGGUGUGAUCAUAGCUCACUGCAGCCUCUGAGCUCCUGGGCUCAAGGGAUCCCCCUGCCUUAGCCUCUGAAGUAGCUGGGACUACAGGCAUGCACCACUGUGCCCAGCUAAUUUUUAAUUUUUUUGUAAAGAUAGGGUCUCAUUAUGUUUCCCAGGCUGGUCUCGAACUCCUGGCUUCAAGUGAUCCUCCCACCUUGGACUCCGAAAGUGCUGGGAUGUGCUCAAUAUUAAAUGUCAUGAAGAUACUGUUAAAAUAAUAAUUGUGCUCAAUAGUUGUAUCUUUAUACUAUUCUGAGCCUUAGGUUUCUUUUCUGUAAAACUGAACAAUACUACCUUCUUUGCAGGGGAUAGCAUAGUCCCUGGUUUACAGUAAAUGCUUUCCUCCAAUUGAAUCAAGAUAUACCUCUCUGCUACCUCCCCAUCUAUUAGAAAUGCUUGCCUUCUGGUACCAGAAAAAAAAAAAAAACACCUUCCACAUGACAACUCUGAAGACAAUAAUCACACUACCAUUGUGUUUUUCUGGAUGUGCCACACAUUGUAUACAUGUCCCUGCCUUACAAAUGACAUCUCCUAUACACAGAGUCCUUAAUAUUUCUACAUGCAAUGUAUAAUCAAUUAAAACAUCAGUAUCAUCUUAAUGUGAAUUUCUGUUAAUCCAAGUUCUCCCCCACUAUGCAAGUGCAAUAAAUAUUUAAAAAUGAAGGUAACAAUAUAUAUAUAUAUUUUUUUGAGACAGAGUCUCGCUCUGUUGUCCAGGCUGGAGUGCAGUGGCGUGAUCGCGGCUCACUGCAAGCUCCACCUCCCGAGUUCAUGCCAUUCUCCUGCAUCAGCCUCCUGAGUAGCUGGGACUACAGGUGCCCACCACCACUCCCAGCUAAUUUUUUGUAUUUUUAGUAGAGACAGGGUUUCACUGUGUUAGCCAGGAUGGUCUCCAUCUCCUGACCUUGUGAUACACCCCUCUCGGCCUCCCAAAGUGCUGGGAUUACAGGUGUGAGCCACCGUGCUUGGCCAACAAUAUAUAUUCUUAACUGUGUAAAUUUUAAUUUGUUGGUUUUAUUCUUUUGAGAUUAUUAUGAAUAUUGAUUCUGUCAUUCAUCGCUUAAGGACCAGGCAGGUGAACCACUUGACAUUUUUUAUCAUCAGAAUAAAUUGACAAAAACAAAACAAAAUACUUUGAGGUGGAAUGGAAGUAUCUUGAGUAGUAGUAAAACCAUAGUUCUAGAUGGUGAUAAUCAUUGUCAUAAUGAAAGCGUGUUGCUUGUUGACUAUUUAACCAUGCUGUUUAAGUCAUAUUAAAAACAUCAAUACGUCCCUCUCCCUCUCCCCUCUCCCCUCUCCCCUCUCCCCUCUCCCCUCUCCCCUCUCCCCCUUCCCACGGUCUCCUUCCACGGUCUCCCUCUGAUGCCGAGCCAAAGCUGGACGGUACUGCUGCCAUCUCGGCUCACUGCAACCUCCCUGCCUGAUUCUCCUGCCUCAGCCUGCCGAGUGCCUGCGAUUGCAGGCGCGCGCCGCCACGCCUGACUGGUUUUCGUUUUUUUUUUUUUUGGUGGAGACGGGGUUUUGCUGUGUUGGCCGGGCUGGUCUCCAGCUCCUAACCGCGAGUGAUCCGCCAGCCUCGGCCUCCCGAGGUGCCGGGAUUGCAGACGGAGUCUCGUUCACUCAGUGCUCAAUGGUGCCCAGGCUGGAGUGCAGUGGCGUGAUCUUGGCUCGCUACAACCUCCACCUCCCAGCCGCCUGCCUUGGC